rnacentral:piRNA from 1 species
UGCAGUGGAGACUCAGGGUCAAAGUGCUU